AUGGAUCGAUUCCGGCCGCUCAGGCGGAUCCAGGUGGAGCCCGAGCGCGCUGCCCCGCCCCCUGCCCCGCCGGCGGUGGCAAUCGGCGAAGCGGCUGCGGUGCCCGCGGCCGGGAUGCUCAUGGGUGCCAAGGUGCGGCGCCGCGCGGCCGUCUACCGCGACUGCAUGGGCGACUACAUCGGCGUGCACAACGACCCGUGCCUGGCCAAGAUCCUGUCCAAGCAAGGGGAUAACAAAGUUCUGUUUGCGGACAAGGUGCUGAAGUUCACUCAGUCAGGAAAGAUGAAAAGGCGCAUCCUUGUGAUCACAGACUUUGCUCUCUACCUUGUCGACCCUGAUGCUGAUAUAUUGAAGAGAAGAAUAGCACUUGCAGCUGUUGAUAAGCUAUGUAUAAGCAAGCUCAGUGAUAACUUCUUUGCAAUCAUUGUGCCGACGGAGUAUGAUUGUUUAAUGGCCAGCACUAGAAAGAAAGAAAUCGUUGAUGUUAUAGUUAAGGCUAUCAAGAGCACAUCUGAGUAUGAACCUGAGGUGGCUUCCUCUAACAGGUUUGAGUACCAUGCUGCUGCCGAAGUGAUUAAAGAAGUUGAAUUUGAAGAAGCUGAUGGACGCGUCAAAACUAGGAUCACCCUCAAGGAGAAGCCAUGA
rnacentral:rRNA from 1 species